rnacentral:sRNA from 1 species
GGGAGCUGUGUAUCCCUGCCCCCAGAGGGGAAGGCCUGGUGAAAAGCACCAUUUGCAAGCAGGGUCAACCACUUAUGAAAUAAUUCAGUUUGGGGAGCAACUUAGGGCAGAAAGGAAUAAUUUGGGCCUUGAAGGGGAACCUGUAACCUUGGGACCCACCUGGAGCAAGGUGCCAUAGCUCAGGCCGCAUCUCUGUCUCCUUGGGGAGUGAGGGCUUCUUGGGGCCUGCUGAGUGCCUGCUGCCCCAGCCCUGGAGAGGCCACAGUGGAGCUUGAGGCCCCAACAAGGUUUCAACAAAGGAGGAGGGGAUUAUACCUACCUGCUUGGUCAGAGGGGCCAAUUGGAAAGAGCUUUGAGCUGAGAGUCAGGAGACUUGGCCUCAGUGUGAUCCUGAGCAAAUCAUCUGCCCUUUCUUGUGCCUCUAUUUCACUUAAAAAAUGGGCACACAUGACCACUCUUUAGCUCCCCUCCUCUUCUCGGGGUGGAGGUGAGGGGUAGCAGUUAAUAGUAGAUGGAAAAGUUCUGUGUUUUGAAAAAAAAGCAAAGGUGAGUGGACAGACAGGAAUCCAGGGGGUUGUUCCCUAAUCCAGGAUGUGGCUGGUGCCCAUGGGGCCUGAAGGACUCUCUUGCCUGCUGCAGAAUGAGCCCAUGGUGGUAGCAGUUGAGGAGGGUAGCAAGGCAGGCUCCCUGGCCCUGCUAUGAGAGGAUGGCCAGGGCCAUGCUGUCCUCCCUUCCUCCCUCCCUCUGCUCACCCUCUUGGCAGCUCUUCCUGAACUUGUUUUUCCAAGUCACUAAUUAACUUCACGCUCAAUCUCCCAGGUGGGCCUACUCUCCUGGCUAACUUUUCCUCAGAGAACCAGCUUCUGCUUCCCAUGGUUCCUGGCAGAAUUGGGAUAUGCUGUCCCUGCCCCUUACCUCAACCACUCUGUUUUUCAGGAGAGAGGGUGGUGCCAGGACUGGAUUCCCAGCAUGGGCAUGGCCACGGACAGGCACUUUUGCCAGCCCACCUAGGGAUGGCCAUGGAGAGCCCACAGGCUGGAGCCAUUUAUUUAAUGCCCAUAUCAGCCUGUAUUGACUUGGCAGCCCCUUUCUCAGAGGAGGAAGGAUGAGGCUAGAAAAGGAACUUAAAUUUACCUUCACUGGGGAGAAGCAAGCAGGAAAAACUCCAGCAGUGUUGUAAAAUUGGUAAAGUGUGUCUGUGUAAUUGUUAUUACACGUGCAUUUCAUCUGCAUUCACCCCCUGGACCCAGCCUUCUCCUUCCAUGCUGUUUCUGAUCAACCCAUCCAAGUUAAAGUGCAAAUGAGGUACAGUGAGUUGUGUGAUGGGGGACCUGUCCUAAGCCCGAGGCACACUUUCCCACGGGUGAAAUAACAGUCAUCAGGGAGCUAACUGGGAACAGGAUCAGUGAUUCAGAGAUGGCUUUCCCAGGCCUGUGAAUUGACCCUGCCUGGGAGGUGGUGAAAACAUUGUGGUAUGACGAAAAGGUACAGCUUUUGAAGUUAAACAGUUCUGAGUUCAAAUCUGGUUUUCAUCCCUUCCAGGCUGUGUGACCUUAAGCAAGUAUGUAACGUCUCUGAUGUUCAGUUCAUCCUGCAUAAAAUGGGAUGAUGAGGCGUGCCUCACAGGGUCAUUGGGAGGAUUGAAGGCGAUUGAAGCAUAUACAGAGUGCUUAACAGUACCAGGCACAGAAGAGACAGCUGAUAACUCUUCAUUCCCAGAUUUUCCCCCUCAAACUUCCUUCUGCUCCAGAAGCCCUGGAGGUGCUGCUUCUUGCUUCAUUUUCCCAGGUCCCCUUGUAUUCUUCAUUGGUGUUUUGCAGUACUAAGAACAAGGUAUGCCCUCCCCAUCCCAGUGCAGACUCCCAGGGAGGAAAACCUCUCUGAGUCCUCACUGGACAGGGGACGGGUACAUGCCAGUGCCUGCCCACACAGCCAGGUGGAAGUCAGGGUAGGUGAGACAGGUAUGGGGAUUACCAAAUGGUACCGUGAGGCCACAGACCUCCCUUACCCACCUAUUUAGGCUCAGCCGUCUGGUCAAGGAGGAAGUCCAGUCCAGCCAUCAUGCAGGACAGGCGGCAGCAGGAGGCAUGAGACUGGACCCCAUCAGUGGGCAUCCUGACAGUGGUGGAUGGCACGGCAUGAAUAACACAUGAAGGCUCCAUAAUUGGUGUUAUUACACAUGCAUUUCAUCUCCAUUCAUAAUGAUUGGACACUUAAACCCAGCCGCCGUUCCUCUGCGGAGUGCUGCUGUCAUCCUUCUAGCCGAGAUCCCAGCAGCUGUCGAGAUCAGCCCCUGCCACUCUGAUGCUGAUGGGUGUGGUUCCUUUUUCUUUGGCGCCCAGAGUUCCAGGAAAUGUUGGUUUGUGGAAAGGAGUGAGACUGGUUCUUCUGACCAGACCACCCUCUCAACUGCCAUGGUGCAUGUUGUCUGCCUUUAGGGGUUUCCUCACCAUCUAGGCAGUCAGUGGGGACAUCCUAAGGUGAGAGGCAGGAGAAGAGACUAUGGCUAAUAGGCUCAGCCAGCAGAAAGUGGUCCAGGGUCAUUCCUUGCAGCAACCUGCCUCUGAGCAUCCCUUCAUACAGCGGACUUCAAACUAGUGUGCAUUAGGAUUGCUUAGAAGGUUUGUUAAAACAUUGCUGGAUCUUACCCUCAGCAUUUCUCACUCAGUAGCUUUAGGUAAAGUUUGAAAUUUGCGUUUCUAACCAAAGGACCAGAGACCUAAUGCUUCUGGUCCAGGACCAUACUUUGAGGACCGUUGCCUUAAAGCCCAGUUACUGCAACUGUGGUGCAUGGACAAAGAGCCUCACCUGAGUGCUUAUUACAAAUGCAGAAUCACAGGACCUGCCCCAAGCCUCUGGAUCAGGAAUGCAUUGUAGCAAGAUUCCCAUUGCAGCUUGAGAAGCCUUAAAAUGCAAAUGGGUCAGAGGUGGGCAGAGCUAUCAAAGGCAGGUCUAGCAGCUAUAGAUCCCUGACCAGUGCUUCCAGCCAAGAGCAGCUUCUAUCUUCUGUGACAAAGAUUGGGAAACAUUGCCCGAGAGCCCCCAGGCAUAUGGAUAAAGACCCUCUGAGGAGGGACUUCCAGCCCUGACUCCAUACGUUAAUCCCACCUCUCACUCUGGAAUGCCCUUCCUGGUAACCUUCAUGCAGAAGUCCAUGUCCCCAGCUGGGCCCAUCCAUCCCUGUCUGACAGCUGCCCCCUGCUCUCCUCCCCUGCCCAUAGGUAGUGGCCUUUGCCUCUCUCUUCUUCAUCCUGGUCUCCAUCACCACUUUCUGCCUGGAGACCCAUGAGGCCUUUAAUAUCGACCGCAACGUGACAGAGAUCCUCCGCGUAGGGAACAUCACCAGCGUGCACUUCCGGCGGGAGGUAGAGACAGAGCCCAUCCUGACCUACAUCGAGGGCGUAUGUGUGCUGUGGUUCACACUGGAGUUCCUGGUGCGCAUCGUGUGCUGCCCCGACACGCUGGACUUCGUCAAGAACCUGCUCAACAUCAUCGACUUUGUGGCCAUCCUGCCCUUCUACCUGGAGGUGGGGCUGAGCGGGCUGUCAUCCAAGGCGGCCCGCGACGUGCUGGGCUUCCUGCGCGUGGUGCGCUUCGUGCGCAUCCUGCGUAUCUUCAAGCUUACACGCCACUUCGUGGGGCUGCGUGUGCUGGGCCACACCCUGAGGGCCAGCACCAAUGAGUUCCUGCUGCUUAUCAUCUUCCUGGCCCUGGGUGUGCUCAUCUUUGCCACCAUGAUCUACUACGCUGAGCGCAUUGGGGCCAGGCCCUCCGACCCUCGGGGUAAUGACCACACCGACUUCAAGAACAUCCCCAUUGGCUUCUGGUGGGCUGUGGUCACCAUGACGACACUGGGCUAUGGAGACAUGUACCCCAAGACGUGGUCAGGCAUGCUGGUAGGGGCACUGUGUGCGCUGGCUGGCGUGCUCACCAUCGCCAUGCCAGUGCCUGUCAUCGUCAACAACUUCGGCAUGUACUACUCCCUGGCCAUGGCCAAGCAGAAGCUGCCCAAGAAACGGAAGAAGCACGUGCCACGGCCGGCCCAGCUGGAGUCACCCAGGUACUGCAAGUCUGAGGAGACCUCCCCCCGGGACAGCACCUACAGUGAUACCAGCCCCCCUGCCCGGGAAGAGGGUAUGAUCGAGAGGAAACGGGCAGGUGAGAUUAGGGGUUGGGAAGGAAAAUCUCUUUUCCCCCAGUGGCCUAGGGAGUUUCCAAAUGGACCUCAGCCCUUAGGAUUUGGCAUGUGUUUUGUGUGGGGCUUCCCUAAGUAUAAGAUGUGCCUUUAUGAGGGCAAAGUGUUGAGGCCGAAUUUCUCUAUCCUCUGGCUGGGUCUCCAAUAGCUUCCCAAACAUCAGAUCUUUGGAGUGAGUAUUCCACCCAGGGUAGGGUGUGAUGGGCAGUACAUGGGGCUGUGUAUUAGAUGCCCUGGUUUUAAAUCCAGUCUUGGCCACUGUGCUGUGUGCCCUGAGGCCAGUCACUCACCCUCUCUAGGCACCUGUAAAAUGGGAAUAAUACCAUAUCCUACCCUCAAGACUUCGAGAGACCCAAAUGAAUGACAGAUAUGAAAGUACUUUGGGAAGUUAAAACCACUUUACAAAUGUCAGGUACUGUCAAUAUUAGCCAAUGAGCAGGGCAGCUGUUCUUCCAAGGUACAUCAACACAUGAAUCACUUCUUUGCAAACGUUCGAGUCUGGUAUCUUGGCCUAAUAAAUGUGAUAACAUAAUAGCAGUGGGAGGCUGCCUUCUGUUCAGCACAAGCUAGAUUGAGUCCUGGGCUCAGGGUUUGACAUGGGAUGGAAAGGAACUGAGGAAGGAGUGGCCCAGACAGUGUUGGGAAGGGGAGGAACAUGGAAGAAACUGAUAUCUGUGCCCUGGAAGGGGAGAGCCUGGGCAUCUGAAUCCUGUCCCUCAAGGAUGGGAAAGGCCAUCCCAAGAAAGCUCGUCUCCGCCCCUGAAUCAGGAGUUGGGAAAUGGAAAACAGCUUAAUCCCCAGCAACGUGGACUUAGGUUGGAGAGUGGGAAAGGCAUCCUGACUGUUAUGUGUAGGCUGGGCUCCUGGGAAAGGUAUGGAAUUCCGGGUAUGGGGAGCUGGACUGGAGCCAGGAGACUAAGGCUAAGCUCUGGGGCAAAGUGGGACUGACCCUGCAGGAGAGGCGCCUAGCUUGGGACACUUACCUAUGGCCUUUGGCAUGUGCCUAUCAUACAUGCCCGGGUCCACUCAUUCCCUGGGGUCAUGUCAGGGGCCUGGGUCUUCCAAAGGCCUUGAUAGAAUAGCACCCGUCAGGCUUCCCAUUUCUCCCCCACCAAAGUGGCACUGCUUCCUAAUUUGUGACUAUUAAUCUCCCGGGGAAUUUCAGCUGCACUCUGAGGCCCAUUCAGGGUAUAAAGAGAAUCCCAGUAUUAAAAUGUAGAAGUCCUUAGGUCAGCUCCUCAAGGUACACUUAACUGUGGCCCUAUCAGCGUUGCCCUUAGCCUGACCCUGACAGCAGACACAGUAAGGGUAUGCCUGGUCAAUGGCAGGGCCACUGUCUUCAGAUAGAGUAGCACCCCCUUCUCCAGAUCCAAGGGCUCAGCUUCACCUGUGCUACUGCCUGACAGAGGCAAGGGGUGGGGACUAAGCCCACAGCACUUGGGAGCUGCAUCGGAGCUUUCCCCAUGGUAUCCUCCCCAGACAAAGGUCAGCCCUAAUUGCAGAGGGCUCUAGGUCUUUUGGGCACAGGACUCUGGCCUAGAUGCCUAGUGAACAAGAAUUACUGUCAUCCAGGGAGAAAGCAUGGACACCACUUUAUAGGUUUAACCCUUGCCGUGCCACCCCUCACCCCUAGCAAGCCAGGUAUUCUCCACGGGAAUGCAGACUCAUCCAAGAGUCAGCCUGAGCCAGACCCAAGGAGGAAGUAGAGUCUGCGGCCUGCUUUGGGCUGAUCUCCUGGGGCAGCCGUCAGCAGGCAGAUUUGGGGAGUCACUGCUGUAGGGCAUCUGCACUGUGGCUUCAUCCCUGAGGAGAGACCCUAGGCUGAGGCUGGGAGGGAAGUCAGUCUUCACACCAAGUGCAGCAUCCCUGCCUUUUGCCCUCUGCUCCCCGACUCUGGCAAUGCUGCCUCCCAGGUAGAUGCUAGGCCCCUCCUGAGGUUGAGGAAGUAACACUCUGGGUCUGGGAGACCCCAGAUGACCCAUGAGCAAGGCUUAGGCGGCCCCUCAUGCAGCCUCCUUUCUGUGUGCCCCCUUCAGACUCUAAGCAGAAUGGCGAUGCCAACGCAGUGCUGUCCGAUGAGGAGGGAGCUGGCCUCACCCAACCCCUGGCCUCCUCCCCCACCCCCGAGGAGCGCCGGGCCCUGCGACGCUCCACCACUCGAGACAGAAACAAGAAGGCAGCUGCCUGCUUCCUGCUCAGCACUGGGGACUAUGCCUGCGCCGAUGGUAGUGUCCGGAAAGAGACCUGCCAAGACGCCCUCUCGUCCAACUAUGCCCAGCCUGAAGUCCUCACCCUCUCUUAAAGCGGCACCAACGUGAGAGAGACAGGCAGACAGACAGAAAGCCAGAGGCUUAGGCAAACUCUGGAACCCAGACAAGAAUCUUUUCGCUGAGAAAGACUCAGAUAUCCUUGUUUGCACAGGACUGGUGGAAAAUCUCUCAUGCGACCCUCGGGGCCCAGAGCCAUCUGGGUCUGAUGUUCUGUUCCAUUGUACAUUGAAGAGAUAUAUAUGCACAUAUAGUAUCUAUAUUCAUACAUACUAUACUCUUGUGUGUAGUGCACGUGCUCUUGGUGGUUUGUCUUCUUUGUUAGGCUGUGUCUCCCUAAGCCCUUUUGCCCCACCCAGAGUUUCCCAUCCCCUUCACUGAUUUCUGUUGUUUCUGCUGACUGUGUGGGUGGAAUGUCCCAAGAAAAGUGCAUCUGGGAAUUGCCAGUCCAGCUGGGUGGUCCCAGGCUCCUGUCUUGGGGAUGUUUCCCCUGUCAGCAAGUAACCUGGUGAAGUCUAUAGAAGGCCAGACUGCCCCCUAGGGUCACUGCUUCACUAGCCCCACCCCACCCUAGAUUGGGGUUCUACCUCCCACCCCACAUCCUCAUUGUGGGGGGACUUCCAGGGGCUCCUCUGCAGCCUCCUCCACUCCUUCCUCCACCCCAUCUAUGUCCUUGAUUUAGGGGGGCAUUUUGUCUUUUUUAUUUUUGAUUUUGUUCUGUCUCCUUUGUCUGUUUGUUGUCAAAGAUGCUGCUGGGCAGACGGGCAGGGAAAGGAUCUGUCUGCCCAUCUGGCCCAGGGGGUCUGAGAAGGGAAGCUUUGGGCAAGAGGAGACCAGUUGCAAUACUGUACUUCCUGGCCAGUGGCCAGAGGAUGCGUGCAAUAGCAGAGGCCAGGUGACCCCUUCAGCCUUGGCCUCUGCCCCUCCCUUGGCCCUCCCUCCCUGCUCCUCCCUGGUGUUGGUCAGUCCUUUUCUAAAGCUGUCCCCUCGUGUGUGUCUGGGGCAUGCCCAGGCUGGGCCCUAUGCCCUGUCUGCAUGUCUCCAACUGUCAUGCUGUGCUUGAGCCCCAAUAAAGACAUCUGGAGCAUCCUGCUGCUCCUGCUGUGUGA